AUUGGGCAAAGGCAAAGAAAAAAGUGAGAGAGAAAUGGGAGGAAAAAUAUCAAGUUAAAAAAAAAAAAAAAGUGGAAAACUUUAUGCCAAUUUGACAACAACGUCGUGGCCUUAGCUAGCCUCCACAGGAGAAGAAAAAGAGAACAAUCACAGUUGGAAAAUAUACUUUGAAAAUGGGCCCAUCAUCUUCUACAACAGAGGAGAGGAGAGAGAAAGUUAAAAGAGAGAAGCUUUACAUAGAAGAAAAGUAUUUUACAGAGACUUUUUCAACAGCCUUCAUCAUUAGCCUCACCAGUGACGAGGAUUGUUGUCUGCGAGCCUGAACUCGUGCAGGGAGAAGAAAAAAAAAGGGCCUUGAGUGGAUAAAAGUAAAAGGUUAGGGGUCAUAGUGUAACUAUUAGAAAAUAGAAGGUGCGGAUAGAUAAAUAAUAAGAAUGAGUCCAAAGAGGAGAGACGUAAUUGGUCAUUGGUGGUUUUGCUUGGCUGGUUAUGGAAAAUGGAGAACACGUAAUAUUUGAGAUUACACCAAAUGCGAUUAUUUUCAUUGACCAAGUCAUCAAUCAAUAGGUAACGACGACGUUUUAUGUCUUGUCAUUCUCCUAAAGAAGAGUUGUGCUUUUCUAAACCAUAUCCCAAAACCGAGUGUAACCAAAACAUUAAUUAGAGCUCUUGUUUCAACCGUCGAUAGAGUUUUUU